rnacentral:rRNA from 1 species
UGGGGAAUCUUGGACAAUGGGCGCAAGCCUGAUCCAGCAAUGCCGCGUGCAGGAUGAAGGCCUUCGGGUUGUAGACUGCUUUUGUACGGAGCGAAAAGGUCUGCCCUAAUACGGUGGGCUCAUGACGGUACCGUAAGAAUAAGCACCGGCUAACUACGUGCCAGCAGCCGCGGUAAUACGUAGGGUGCGAGCGUUAAUCGGAAUUACUGGGCGUAAAGCGUGCGCAGGCGGUUAUAUAAGACAGAGGUGAAAUCCCCGGGCUCAACCUGGGAACUGCCUUUGUGACUGCAUAGCUAGAGUACGGUAGAGGGGGAUGGAAUUCCGCGUGUAGCAGUGAAAUGCGUAGAUAUGCGGAGGAACACCGAUGGCGAAGGCAAUCCCCUGGACCUGUACUGACGCUCAUGCACGAAAGCGUGGGGAGCAAACA